ACGAAGUCUUCGGACUGAGUGGCGGACGGGUGAGUAACGCGUGAGAAUCUGCCUAGAGGUCGGGGACAACCAUUGGAAACGAUGGCUAAUACCGGAUAUGCCUUACGGGGUGAAAGAUUAAUUGCCUUUAGAAGAGCUCGCGUCUGAUUAGCUAGUUGGUGAGGUAAGAGCUCACCAAGGCAGCGAUCAGUAGCUGGUCUGAGAGGAUGACCAGCCACACUGGGACUGAGACACGGCCCAGACUCCUACGGGAGGCAGCAGUGGGGAAUUUUCCGCAAUGGGCGAAAGCCUGACGGAGCAAGACCGCGUGAGGGAGGAAGGCUCUUGGGUUGUAAACCUCUUUUGUCAGGGAAGAACAAAAUGACGGUACCUGACGAAUCAGCAUCGGCUAACUCCGUGCCAGCAGCCGCGGUAAUACGGAGGAUGCAAGCGUUAUCCGGAAUUAUUGGGCGUAAAGCGUCCGCAGGUGGCUGAUCAAGUCUGCGGUCAAAGACCGGGGCUUAACCCUGGAAAGGCCGUGGAAACUGAUAGAGCUAGAGUACCGUAGGGGUAGAGGGAAUUCCCGGUGUAGCGGUGAAAUGCGUAGAGAUCGGGAAGAACAUCGGUGGCGAAAGCGCUCUACUGGACGGUGACUGACACUCAGGGACGAAAGCUAGGGGAGCGAAUGGGAUUAGAUACCCCAGUAGUCCUAGCCGUAAACGAUGGAUACUAG
rnacentral:rRNA from 1 species